rnacentral:rRNA from 1 species
GUGCCCAGUAGCGGGGGAUAACUACGCGAAAGCGUGGCUAAUACCGCAUACGCCCUACGGGGGAAAGCGGGGGACCUUCGGGCCUCGCACUAUUGGAGCGGCCGAUAUCGGAUUAGCUAGUUGGUGGGGUAACGGCCUACCAAGGCGACGAUCCGUAGCUGGUUUGAGAGGACGACCAGCCACACUGGGACUGAGACACGGCCCAGACUCCUACGGGAGGCAGCAGUGGGGAAUUUUGGACAAUGGGGGCAACCCUGAUCCAGCCAUCCCGCGUGUGCGAUGAAGGCCUUCGGGUUGUAAAGCACUUUUGGCAGGAAAGAAACGGCACGGGCUAAUAUCCUGUGCAACUGACGGUACCUGCAGAAUAAGCACCGGCUAACUACGUGCCAGCAGCCGCGGUAAUACGUAGGGUGCAAGCGUUAAUCGGAAUUACUGGGCGUAAAGCGUGCGCAGGCGGUUCGGAAAGAAAGAUGUGAAAUCCCAGGGCUUAACCUUGGAACUGCAUUUUUAACUACCGGGCUAGAGUGUGUCAGAGGGAGGUGGAAUUCCGCGUGUAGCAGUGAAAUGCGUAGAUAUGCGGAGGAACACCGAUGGCGAAGGCAGCCUCCUGGGAUAACACUGACGCUCAUGCACGAAAGCGUGGGGAGCAAACAGGAUUAUAUACCCUGGUAGUCCACGCCCUAAACGAUGU